AGAGUUUGAUCCUGGCUCAGGAUGAACGCUAGCGACAGGCUUAACACAUGCAAGUCGAGGGGCAGCACAGGGUAGCAAUACUUGGGUGGCGACCGGCGCACGGGUGAGUAACGCGUAUGCAACUUACCUAUCAGAGGGGGAUAACCCGGCGAAAGUCGGACUAAUACCGCAUGAAGCAGGGAUCCCGCAUGGGAAUAUUUGCUAAAGAUUCAUCGCUGAUAGAUAGGCAUGCGUUCCAUUAGGCAGUUGGCGGGGUAACGGCCCACCAAACCGACGAUGGAUAGGGGUUCUGAGAGGAAGGUCCCCCACAUUGGUACUGAGACACGGACCAAACUCCUACGGGAGGCAGCAGUGAGGAAUAUUGGUCAAUGGACGCAAGUCUGAACCAGCCAUGCCGCGUGCAGGAUGACGGCUCUAUGAGUUGUAAACUGCUUUUGUACGAGGGUAAACGCUCUUACGUGUAAGAGCCUGAAAGUAUCGUACGAAUAAGGAUCGGCUAACUCCGUGCCAGCAGCCGCGGUAAUACGGAGGAUCCGAGCGUUAUCCGGAUUUAUUGGGUUUAAAGGGAGCGUAGGCGGACUAUUAAGUCAGCUGUGAAAGUUUGCGGCUCAACCGUAAAAUUGCAGUUGAUACUGGUCGUCUUGAGUGCAGUAGAGGUAGGCGGAAUUCGUGGUGUAGCGGUGAAAUGCUUAGAUAUCACGAAGAACUCCGAUUGCGAAGGCAGCUUACUGGACUGUAACUGACGCUGAUGCUCGAAAGUGUGGGUAUCAAACAGGAUUAGAUACCCUGGUAGUCCACACAGUAAACGAUGAAUACUCGCUGUUUGCGAUAUACAGCAAGCGGCCAAGCGAAAGCAUUAAGUAUUCCACCUGGGGAGUACGCCGGCAACGGUGAAACUCAAAGGAAUUGACGGGGGCCCGCACAAGCGGAGGAACAUGUGGUUUAA
rnacentral:rRNA from 1 species